GGUUAAAAAGCUCGUAGUUGGACUUCUGUUGAGGUGGGCCGGUCCGCAUAUCUUGACGUGAGCCGUGUUUUACCGCCUUAGCAUACCUGUCGGGAAACGGUAGUUCGUUUAACCGCGAGCUAUCGGCGCCCGGCGCAUUUACUUUGAGGAAAUUAGAGUGUUCACCGCAGGCGACCGUUCUGAAUACAUUAGCAUGGAAUAAUAAUAUAGGACCUUGGUGCUAUUUUUGUUGGUUUCUAGUACUGAGGUAAUGAUGAAUAGGGAUAAUUGGGGGCAUUCGUAUUAACGCGUCAGAGGUGGAAUUCUUGGAUUGCGUUACGACGAACCACUGCGAAAGCAUUUGUCAAGGAUGUUUUCAUUGAUCAAGAACGAAAGUUAAGGGAUCGAAGACGAUUAGAUAC
rnacentral:rRNA from 1 species